CUCCUACGGGAGGCAGCAGUGAGGAAUAUUGGUCAAUGGGCGAGAGCCUGAACCAGCCAAGUAGCGUGAAGGAUGACUGCCCUAUGGGUUGUAAACUUCUUUUAUAAAGGAAUAAAGUCGGGUAUGCAUACCCGUUUGCAUGUACUUUAUGAAUAAGGAUCGGCUAACUCCGUGCCAGCAGCCGCGGUAAUACGGAGGAUCCGAGCGUUAUCCGGAUUUAUUGGGUUUAAAGGGUGCGUAGGCGGCCUUUUAAGUCAGCGGUGAAAGUCUGUGGCUCAACCAUAGAAUUGCCGUUGAAACUGGGGGGCUUGAGUAUGUUUGAGGCAGGCGGAAUGCGUGGUGUAGCGGUGAAAUGCAUAGAUAUCACGCAGAACCCCGAUUGCGAAGGCAGCCUGCCAAGCCAUUACUGACGCUGAUGCACGAAAGCGUGGGGAUCAAACAGGAUUAGAUACCCUGGUAGUCCACGCAGUAAACGAUGAUCACUAGCUGUUUGCGAUACACUGUAAGCGGCACAGCGAAAGCGUUAAGUGAUCCACCUGGGGAGUACGCCGGCAACGGUGAAACUCAAAGGAAUUGACGGGGGCCCGCACAAGCGGAGGAACAUGUGGUUUAAUUCGAUGAUACGCGAGGAACCUUACCCGGGUUUGAACGCAUUCGGACCGAGGUGGAAACACCUUUUCUAGCAAUAGCCGUUUGCGAGGUGCUGCAUGGUUGUCGUCAGCUCGUGCCGUGAGGUGUCGGCUUAAGUGCCAUAACGAGCGCAACUCUUGCCACUAGUUACUAACAGGUAAAGCUGAGGACUCUGACAAGACUGCCAUCGUAAGAUGUGAGGAAGGUGGGGAUGACGUCAAAUCAGCACGGCCCUUACGUCCGGGGCUACACACGUGUUACAAUGGGGGGUACAGAGGGCCGCUACCACGCGAGUGGAUGCCAAUCCCCAAAACCUCUCUCAGUUCGGACUGGAGUCUGCAACCCGACUCCACGAAGCUGGAUUCGCUAGUAAUCGCGCAUCAGCCACGGCGCGGUGAAUACGUUCCCGGGCCUUGUACACACCGC
rnacentral:rRNA from 1 species